GUCCAUUCAGCUGAGGCAAAACUUCAUCCGGGAAUCUGUCAGGGUCAUCUACUGUAUCCAGUGUUCCAGAAGCAGCCUCCUCAACACUGGUGAAGACCAACCUGGAUUACAGAAGGUUUGGAAUCAUUGCUUAAGGGCACGAAAGGUCUCGGAAACAAGUUGAGCUGACAAAAUGACACACAGGCAUUGAACGCUGAACUUUACCAAUUAAUCUCUACACAUAGAAAUCGACAAGGGUUAUUUCGAAGACCCUGACUUGGUUACACGCUGACUAUGGUUCUUUGCGGGAAUGGGACCUGCUCUCGGGGUUCCACAAUCAGCCGCUAUUCAGCAUGCCAUUGGCU